rnacentral:rRNA from 1 species
GACGAACGCUGGCGGCGUGCUUAACACAUGCAAGUCGAACGGUAAGGCCCUUCGGGGUACACGAGUGGCGAACGGGUGAGUAACACGUGGGUGAUCUGCCCUGCACUUCGGGAUAAGCCUGGGAAACUGGGUCUAAUACCGGAUAGGACCAAUGCCUGCAUGGGUGGGGGUGGAAAGCUUUUGCGGUGUGGGGUGGGCCCGCGGCCUAUCAGCUUGUUGGGGGGGUGAUGGCCUACCAAGGCGACGACGGGUAGCCGGCCUGAGAGGGUGACCGGCCACACUGGGACUGAGAUACGGCCCAGACUCCUACGGGAGGCAGCAGUGGGGAAUAUUGCACAAUGGGCGCAAGCCUGAUGCAGCGACGUCGCGUGAGGGAUGACGGCCUUCGGGUUGUAAACCUCUUUCAGCACCGACGAAGCGCAAGUGACGGUAGGUGCAGAAGAAGGACCGGCCAACUACGUGCCAGCCGCCGCCGUAA